rnacentral:rRNA from 1 species
AUGUCCACCGACGCCGACCGUGCCGCCGCCGAGAAAGCUGAAGCCGACAAGAAGGUCGCCGAGGACGCCGCUACUGCCACCAAAGCCGCGGCCUCUGCGUGGCCUACUGGAGGAGUGCUCGAGACGCUUCAAGAGCACUGGAAGAAGAUCUCUGGUAGCAGCGAGACGGCCGCGUUCGCCAACGCUCGCGUGGACUGGAAGGAGACCCCCGAGGCGCACGUCUUCAAGGCCGACCUCCCUGGUGUGAAGAAGGAGGAGGUCAAGGUGGAGGUGGAGGACGGCAACGUGCUCGUCGUCAGCGGCGAGCGCACCAAGGAGAAGGAGGACAAGAACGACAAGUGGCACCGUGUGGAGCGCAGCAGCGGCAAGUUCGUCAGGCGCUUCCGCCUGCCGGAGGACGCCAAGGUGGAGGAGGUGAAGGCCGGGCUGGAGAACGGUGUGCUCACCGUCACCGUGCCCAAGGCAGAGGUCAAGAAGCCCCAGGUGAAGGCCAUCGAAAUCUCCGGCUGA